rnacentral:rRNA from 2 species
UUAUUGGGCGUAAGCGCGCGCAGGCGGUUUCUUAAGUCUGAUGUGAAAGCCCCCGGCUCAACCGUGGAGGGUCAUUGGAAACUGGGGAACUUGAGUGCAGAAGAGAAAAGCGGAAUUCCACGUGUAGCGGUGAAAUGCGUAGAGAUGUGGAGGAACACCAGUGGCGAAGGCGGCUUUUUGGUCUGUAACUGACGCUGAGGCGCGAAAGCGUGGGGAGCGAACAGGAUUAGAUACCCUGGUAGUCCACGCCGUAAACGAUGAGUGCUAAGUGUUAGAGGGUUUCCGCCCUUUAGUGCUGCACCUAACGCAUUAAGCACUCCGCCUGGGGAGUACGGUCGCAAGACUGAUACUCAAAGGAAUUGACGGGGGCCCGCACAAGCGGUGGAGCAUGUGGUUUUU